rfam:Sorex araneus cont1.150795, whole genome shotgun sequence.
CAAUAUUUUUUUCUCCAGUGGAGAUUGCUGACCAGCAGCUAUUCUAGGGUCUUUAGAUGAUUUAGCCCAAAUCAGU